GAUGAACGCUGGCGGCGUGCCUAAUACAUGCAAGUCGAGCGAACAGAUGAGGAGCUUGCUCCUCUGACGUUAGCGGCGGACGGGUGAGUAACACCUGGAUAACCUACCUAUAAUACUGGGAUAACUUCGGGAAACCGGAGCUAAUACCGGAUAAUCUAUUGAACCGCAUGGUUCAAUAGUGAAAGACGGUUUUGCUGUCACUUAUAGAUGUAUCCGCGCCGCUUUAGCUAGUUGGUAAGGUAACGGCUUACCAAGGCAACGAUGCGUAUCCGACCUGAGAGGGUGAUCGGCCACACGGGAACUGAGACACGGUCCAGACGCCUACGGGAGGCAGCAGUAGGGAAUGUUCCGCAAUGGGCGAAAGUCUGACGGAGCAACGCCGCGUGAGUGAUGAAGGUCUUCGGAUCGUAAAACUCUGUUAUUAGGGAAGAACAAAUGUGUAAGUAACUAUGCACGUCUUGACGGUACCUAAUCAGAAAGCCACGGCUAACUACGUG
rnacentral:rRNA from 1 species